CAGGAGUUGAUUGAAGACCUCCCCCUUGAGUCUGAGCCAAGCUCUAUCCUCUCCAGCUCUGUGGCUGCGGUUUGCAACCUCAGCAAACUGAAGCUGCCUCUUGAGCUGGAAUCACACCUCCUGCGGGCUGUCCUGUACAGUGUUUUUACCAUGGGCACAGGGAAGGACACCGCUCACUUCCAGGCUCUUCACAAGGCCUAUGUAGACAGCCUGGACAUUAUGCUGAGGAGCCUGCUCACAGAAACCCUCACCACGGACAAGCUGCAGCACCUCUUGGAGAGUGACGCAAGAGAGAGCUAGGUCCAUACGGAGCAGCACUGCCCUACUCCGAUACACCACCUGCCUCCCAGGAUUUGAUAGCUCAUCUGACUUCCCCAAGGUGGGGUAUCUUGUGGCACAGCUGGGUCUCUAUGUCACUGACCCAGCAUGUGAUAUCAGCUGCAAUCCAGGGAGGGGAUUUACAGGCUCUACCAGCUACGGCUGCAGAAGAGGGGGCUGAACAUCAGAGAUGUCAAAGAGCUGUGGUGUCAGGAUGGGCUCCAGGACACCAAGUACCUUGGCUAUAGAAAUAUGGCCAGAGUGGGGGAGGAAGAAAGUCCCCAGGUGAGGAUUUGUGGGACUGGAACCCAGAUCUGCAGGUCUCCCUCCAUGUGGGCACUGCUUGGAAGUACCGGGAAGUUAUCUGGGCAACAAGGCAGAUCCCUGCCCGUCUGCUGAGCCAGUCCCCACCUUGAUCCUGGUUCAUGCCUCCGUGCACCACUCUGCCCUGCCCUCCAGUUCCUGGCUAUUGACUUUGGCUUGACCCUCAGCUCCGGACUCUGGUUACUGACCUUGGCAUGACCCUUGGCUCUAGAUGUUGGCUGUGAACUCUUGCUCUGUAUUGUCCUUGCCGCCCUCUAGCCUCACUCCAGCCCCACCACCAACUCACUCCAGCCUUGUCUCCUACUCCUGAUCCUCCUCAGUCCCUUGGACUCUGACUACCUGGCUUUGAAUUUCUGCCUGUGUCUGGACUCUGGCUUGAUAUCAGCUUGGUUUAUCUUUGGACUCUAACCACCCAGCUUUGACCACUGGCCUGCACCUGGACUCGGGCUCCAGUUCUGAUUCUGGUUUGUCUGUGGACUCUGAUCUUGAUUUUGACCUUGCCCUGUCCUUGGAUCUUGAUUCCUGCACCAUCCUUCACCCAGGUCCAAACCUAUGCCUAGCUGGGACUUUUGCUUGAAGCAGUAGGCCUAAUUAUAGGAAGCAGAGCCUGACACCAGGUGAUGCAACUUUUUGCAGAAAACAGGCCCUUUGCUAGUAAGUGGCCCGUACACAAAAGGGGACACAUCACACCAGGUGUGAACGAAGGCCUUGCUAACUGAGCUUGGCCCUGGGGUUCCUCUACCUGAGUGGUUUGAUGGAAAUGACUGAAAAUGUAGGGGUUUCUUAACUAGCCUCUGCCCCUGGACCUACCCCACCCAUCAGGCUAAGGGGGGAUUGGUAACUAGUUUAUUGACCAGUGAGGUGCUAGACUGGGCCUCACCUCUACUCAAACUGAAUUUUCUGGCACUAAUAUGCUGGAGCACCUUCCUGUGAUUGGCUGAAGCUCUCCUGCCAAAAUUCCUGCAGGCACAUAGGCCAGCCGUCUCCUAUACCAUGCAGUUUUGAUGGCUUGUGGCCAAUGUCGAGUGGACCCAGAUGGCCCAGUUUUAUCAUUUCCGCUGGGCACUCAGUGAAGAGGUCAAGGAGGAGUUAGCCUGACUAGAAGCCCUCUUGGGCCUGUACAGCUUCAUUGAUCUGGUCAACCACAUUGAGAACUGCCAUCGCAAGCGCAGGGAGGAAGAGAAGAGGGUGUCACAGAGCCGCCUUGGCCUGGCUCUGCACUAACACCCUUGAACUCAUCCCCUGAACCUGAAGUCAGCGCAAUGACUUGUUCUUCUACUGUGGUAAGUCAGGGCACGCACUCACUUGCUGCCUGUCAUGGACCCCAGCCCGAAAAGUAUUAGGAAAUGAACAAGGCCAAGUCUUCAUGGAAAUCCAGGUCCAUCAGGGCCCUCAUUGCAUCUCCAAGUUCCAAUUCAGUUGUGCAUCUCCAGAGAAACACGACAAGUGGCAUUGCAGUGGGCACUUAUUGAUUCUGGGGCUGCGGACAAUUUCAUAAAUUUCGAGACAGCCCAAGAUCUGCAAAUCCUUGUCCUGCAGAAGUCACAUCAGAUGUUGUGGGAACGAUUGACAAGACCCUCCUGUCCUCAGGACUGGUGACUCAGGUAAUGGUGCCCCUGCAAGCAGUAACCCAGGUACACAAAGAAGUGCUAACGUUCACUGUGAUGUGUUCCCCACAUUUUGGUGGGCUCACCUGGUUAGCAUGACAGGACCCCCAUGUUCUCUGGCAAACCCGGAAGACCAGCUUUUCCUCCAAGCAGGCCUAUCUCCAUAGCAACAGCAACAAGUUCCUUGUCCAAGAGACCCAUUGCCAGACAGUGGUGAGUCCACCCCUGUGUGUACCAGGGCUCACAGCAACUGGCUGCAGUGAUCCAUUCUUGGGUCUGACACCCCACAUUCCUGUUAAGUACCAGGAUUAUUUGGACAUAUUCAAAAAUAAAAUGUGGACACAUUGUCUCUGCACUGAGACCAUGACUGCCCUAUUGAUCUACAAUUUUGGGCAACAGUUCCCUUUGGCCAUAUUUACGCAAUGUCCGAACCAGAACUGGUGGCUCUCUCUGCAUGUAGUCAAGAGAAACAGUCCAAAGGGUUUAUUCGCCAUUCAGCGUUUCCCACAGGGGCCCCAGUCCUCUUUGGAAAGAAGGAAGUGGGACUCUUACUCUGUGUAGACUACCAGGCUCUGACCAAAAUGGCAGUUUGGAACCACGGAUUUCAUUGUAGAACUCCCUGAAUCAAAUGGUCACACGGUACAACUGAUUAUCGUAGAUCAACUGACCAAGAUGGCAGGCUUCAUCUGCUGUGACCGCGUACCUUUGGCUGAAAGCACAGAUCAGCUCCAAAUUUGAAAACCAGAAUGCCAACCUCAACUCUUUUUGCUAAUGAUAGAUUAACCCCUGAUUUCAGCCCACACUACCAAUGGCCUCUCCGAACUUGCCGGACAACAACCUGGUUCUAUGAAUCCACCACAUUCAAGAAGAACUAAGGGGGCACCUCGAGGACACUAGGAAGGACUUCAAAUAAUAUGCAGACUGCCAUGACAGGAGGGGUCUUCUCAAUAGAGAAACUCUUUGCUGAAUGGAGGAAAAGCAUCUCCGAAGGAGGUGUAUAAGGAUCCUGGACUCUAUUGCCUGCAAGAAGCUGCAGUCACCUUUACAGGGCAGGACUCACCGUCCAUCAUGAAGGUUAAGACCGGAUGGGAGUUGAUGGAUUGACCUUGAUAUGUCAUGUCCUUGGGUGGAUGAGGGACAUACAUCACAGAGGUGGACAGCAGCAGAUGUUCCACACAUGGCCAGGAAUGGGCUAAACAACCUACAAUGAUAGGCAAAGACAGCCUUUUCCUGACAAUGAGAAAGUAACAAACAAGAAGAUAUGCAUUAGGCAUGGAGUUCUCUCACAUUUUCAAGAAACCUCAAAGAUGAUCAUGGAGCCAAAGAAAACCUACACGGGGAAAAAAAUAAUCACUGGUAUUAUCGGAACUCCAGCUGCCAGGAUCAAUUAAGGAGACUUACCUUGAGAAGCAGAGAAAGCUGCAGGAGGGAAAGAUCAGAUUUGUAAAAUGUAAAGGUUUUGAGGAGCGAAUACAAAGUAUGUAUACUGUAGUAGGGCCAACUUAUGUUUAGUCCUGACCAGAUACACAGGGGAUUCCAAGAAGCCUUCCCCCUCUCGAACCCCUGCACAGGAACCAAGCACAGUAUGGCUGUGGAAUGCAGGUACCAUGCUGUGUUAGUGCCGCCAAAGGCAUCGGCCGACCUGAAGGAAGUGGAGAGAGCUGAGUUGUGGGGGGUCCGUGCUCCCCAGGUCCUGCAUCUAUUAGCUGGUUGGGGGCAAAGUUAUGGUGAGGGGGCUCAGCUAUUUAAAGCGUGGUUGAGCUACUACUGCAGCCUGUGCUCUCCUGGAGCCCCAGGAGGUAGCAUUGCCACUUGCCAGGUGUCCAGUUUUCAACUGAACCCCAUCCGGUCAAAAAGGGACCCUCUGCAGCCUUCCCCAGCCU